AUGCAGCUGUCCCCUCAACUGCUGAGCCCCAUAUCCUGGGAGGACAGCGUGGAUACAGCACCCAUUGCAGAAACCACGGAGCACCCCCAUCCACCUGCUCCAUCCCAGGAAGAUGAAACGACAUCUUCCAGCGAGAGAACCUCGCCUCCUCCCCAUCUCAGAAGCCCCAGCUGCCUGCAGCCAAGGCCAAGCCAAAGAAGGCAAAAGGGCUCUUCAGCUGAAAGAUUGCUGAAGGCUCUGCUUCCCCCAGCAUCCAAGAGAUGGAGUGCAGAGCAGCCAUGCAUCGUCUGCCUCUUCUCUGCAUCUCCUGGUGGACCCUACCCAGGUCACGGUCCCCUCCCAAGAUGUCUUCAGUUGGGCAGAUGGAACUCCUUUCUUCAACAGUGUUUCAGGAAACAGCUUUUCUAACUCUUCCCUGGUCCAGAGCUCGCCCAGGCUUCAUCUCAUGGCAGAGCCAGUGCAAGACAUGGGAGAAGUGGGAGGGAUGCUGCCAGUGGGUGUGGGACAGCUGGGGCUCUGGCAGAGCCAAACUGUGGGGUUUGGCUGCUCUUGAGUGGGUUUUCAAUAAAGGGCUGUGUCAGGGUGAGAUUCCCUCUCUU
rnacentral:lncRNA from 1 species